rnacentral:tRNA from 17 species
GCUGUAGUUCAGUUGGUUAGAGCGUCAGAUUGUGGUUCUGAAUGUCGUGGGUUCGAGUCCCAUCUG